AAUUUUUGUUAAAUGUUGAUUUUUCAAAUAUUUAAUGGACAAUUUAUAUUAAUCUAUAAGUUGAGUAUACAAAAUAAGUUGUUUCUAAUUUGUAGAAACAUUUUUCGACUGUAAGCGGUGGUCAGUUCAAUAUACAUGAGUAUGAAUGAAACUCAAGAAUAGUAUAUUUAAUUUUUAUCUUUGGAAAAGAAAACAAUGAUUAAGACUGACCAAAUACUUCUCUGGCAUAAGUGUAAGGCUUAUUACAUACAAGAACUGAACAUGCAUAGGUUUUUUAUUAAAUUGCUAAGAACUCUAUGAAUAACAGAAAUUGUGCAUUUAAGUAUUAGUUAUGUUAAUUGUGUCAUAGACAAUAUUCUUAUAAAAUGGAUAUUGGAAUAGUUAAAAUUGCUGAAGAUAAGGAUUUUGAGAAGUUGAAACAUUUAUAUGAUGAUAAUAAUGAUUGGAGAUUAGAUUAUAAUAAACCUGAUUUAUCAGUUUGGACAAAAUCUGUAUCAGGAAUUAGUUUUAGAAUGGUAAAGAUUAGAACACGUUUUGCCGAUGUUCUACCAGAAACAUUAUAUGAUGUGUUACAUGACCCUGAGUAUAGAAAGGUUUGGGACACCCACAUGAUUGAAUCAAAAGACAUAGGCUUUUUUAAUCCAAAUAACGAUAUUGGUUAUUAUUCAAUGGCCUGUCCAUCUCCAUUGAAAAACAGAGAUUUUGUUCUACAAAGAUCAUGGCUUGAUACUGGUAUAGAGCAAUUAAUUUUGAAUCAUUCUGUUUUUCAUAAAGAUUAUCCACCAAGAAAGCAAUUUGUACGAGCAACAUCUUAUCUUACAGGAUAUAUAGUAAGACCAUCUCGAAAUGGUGAUGGCUCUGAAUUAGGCUAUGUCUCUCAUACUGAUCCACAUGGAAAAUUACCAGUAUGGUUGGUUAAUAAAGUUACGCAAAUAUUUGCUCCAAGAAUGGUUAAAAAAUUACAUAAAGCUUCUGUAGCUUACCCUAAUUGGAAAUUACUUAAUAACCCAAAUUAUAAACCUUGGCAUUUCCCUGAACAAAUUGCAUCACCACGUAUAAGAAUUGAGGAUUGUGUAAAGUCUGCAGAAGAAAAAAAUUCAAAAAAUUAUUAUGUUGAUGAAUCAGAAUUAAAAGAGUCAGUUACAAUGGACAGUGAUUAGUUUUAUUCAUAAAGUAGAUGUUUCCAUUGUUAACAUUAAGAAAAUAAUAUAAUAGUUGAAAUUAUAAAAUGCAGUAUUAUAGAAGUUUGUAGUAUCAACAGAGCUUGAUGAAAGUUAAUUUAUUCGUGUAAAUGUGUAUAUAACUAUAUAUUAUCUAUAUACACAUCCACACAUCUAACUGCAAUUUAUUAAUUAUAUUGAUAAUAGUAGUAUCAUAAAUAGUUAUGUGGCCUAUUGCAAUGAAUGACAGUAUGAUUAAUAAGAAUACAUCACGGCCUGUCUUGUAUUAAAUAUUAUAUAGUUAUAGUUCCUUAUUGAAUCGGUGAUGUAUGUGUUGUUGAAAGUAUAAUUUGUUACAUGUGAUUCAACAUAACGCACAAUAUGCAGGUUGUAAUGUUUAAUUUAUGUGUUUAUUUGUUUUUAUUGUUUUAUGUGAGUAUUUAAGUAUUGCAUAUAAUAAUUUUUGUAUAUAUGUAUAAAAAUUAUCAUUGAGGGUACAAAAGAUUUACAUAUUGUCUACAUUAAAUAUUUAUUAAGAUUAAUGCAUUAUAGCUUGAUAAAUAGAUAACGAUUGUAGCAUCUUAAUAUUACAAGUGCGAUUUUAGGAAUAUUAGAGAAAUCUUAGUGUUUGGAUACAGAAAUAGUGAUCACAUACAACAAUAUAAAUAUUAAUUUUCUUAAAAAUGAUACUGCAUAAUAUUAUUAGUUAUAAUUAUUAGUUUUGUACUUUGUGAUAUACAAUUGUUGACUUAUUUUGUUUUAUUUAUGUUAAAAUUUAUGUUACUUAUCAUAUUUUUUAUAUUACAUCUAUAUAUAACUUGUCUAGACAAUAGGUAAAUAUAUCCAGUAAAUUAUAUAAAUUCUCUUGCUUUUACCAUAGUGUAGUUCUUCUAUUUAGAACCUUUUACACUUUGUAAAAAGAAUUAAGAUUUUCUAUAUUCAUUAAAUAUUCUGCUUCAAUUAAUGUAAUUAACAUAUCCUAUUUAUACAAUGUUCUAUUUACAUUUAUACAAUUAUGACAUUUAUCUCUUAUAAUAACACAUACGUUUUGUGAUUUUCUAUAUUUAAUAAUAAUAACUAGCUUUCUAAAGUAUAUGUACAUACAUAUUUAUACUUACAUAAAUUAUCAGAAUAUACAUUGGUAUUUAAUGUUAUUUAUGAAUUUUUUCAAUGUGAUGAAUAUUUCAAUUUUUUGGAGAUAAACUGAUUCUACAUGUUUAAUUUUAUAUGUCAUCUUUCAUGCAUUUAAUUAUUUAAAUGUUUCAAUUCUAAUUGCACUUGCCUUAGAAUGUAAUGGCCUUGAUAAAUUUAAGAUAAAAUUUAUUUGUGUAUAUUGAGUACAUUCUAAUCAUACUAAAUAUUUUUAUUUCCUAAAUUACAGUGUCAAUUGAAAGACAAAUAACUUGAAAUUUCUGUAUAUACAUAUACUGAUGUAUUUAUGUGAUUAGAAUUUUUACAUUAUACAUAUAUAUUUCUGUAUGUACUUACAUAGCAAAAGAUAGUUAUUAUAUCAGAAUAAUAUUUGUGAUAUUAUUUUUAGGAAUUUUGAAGAUGGUUAAUGAAGAUUUAAAAAAGAUGAGAAUUGUAUUACUUUUUAAAUCUACCAAUUUGGCUGAUAUCGAUAUCCUGGUGCAAGUUUAUAUAUACAAAGGUGAUAUAAAAGUACAUAAAUCAAUUGUGGUUUAUUAAUUGAUUCUUAUGUAUUAUUUUUUUACUUGUUUUAAAUGGUCUCUAUUUGUAUACAAUACAAUUAUAUGUAUGAUUAGUGCAAUUCAUUAUUGAGGUAAUUAUUAUUUUUAUCUGUUAUGUGGAAAUAAUGAUAUACUCUAUAUAUUUUUAUCCGAAUAUAUUUAGCAAAUUGUUAGAGACAAAGUAUCAAAAUAAUGAUUGGAUUCCAUAUAAGCAUUAGUCUUCAAUGUAAGGGUUUGAUUUGAUGUAUUUCAUAAAUUUGACGUAACUGUUAUUAAGUUUACGAUGAGAAGAAAAAUUUCUAGUACAGGUAAUUAUAAAUUUAUUUUGUACCAGGAAGUUACUGCAGGGCCGGAAGAUAAACGGAAAUAAAGAAUAUAUAUAUAAUUAUAAAUUUAUUUCUGUCCAUUAUUACUAAUUUUAACAAAUUUCAUGUUUAU